rnacentral:lncRNA from 1 species
GGAUAAUUGGAAGAUAUUCCUCCCCACUUUGCUUCUCUUCAACAGUGCUCCUUGGGAGCCUUCUAUGUGCCAUGUUCCAUGCCAGGUGCUGGGAAUGCAGUAGAGAAAAACACAGAAAGAAAUCCCUGAUCUCACGGAGCAUAUGCUGUAGUGGGGACAGACAGACCGUAAACAUAAAAGAAGCAAAUUACACAGUGCCUGAGAAGCUGCUUCAAAGAACCCCCCCUUUUGCUUGGUGUUCUACAUCCAAAUACGAAGUUGCAACAGGCAGAAAGGCUGUUUGAAAAUCAGCUUAUUGGACCGGAGUCCAUAGCACAUAUUGGGGGUAAGUCUGAGCUGGGGCACCUUCCAGGCUGUCUGUUGUCUGAGGGGACAGGUUCUGUGGGAGCAGCCGCAGUGGCACACUGCCCCUGGACUGGGACCCUGCGC